CCGCAGCCCUAGCCCCCUACCACCCUACCAAGGACUGAUCGGAGACGUUACAUGAAGCGAUUUGCGGCAUUCUAGUGUGUGAAAUCGAAGGUGACGGUUCAGACCAAUACAGUAGUUCGUGAUUUCGAGGAGAUAAUUUUUCUGUCAAGUUCGGUGGUUCCUCGCCCCGUUAGGAAAGAUUUUCCAGCUUCUCAUCUUGUUCGGUAUGAACUUACGAGUCUUCGAAAGUCAAUAUUUUGUGGUCUCUCCAACAUUCGUCAAGGCGGUGCACGAAGACGGAACAUUUUCACUCUAUUGCAUCAGAGCUGUUCAUAACUUUACGGAUCAUCACUUCAUCACGGUAAAAUCUCUCCAACUCCUUUCUGCUCUUAGAAUCAAUUGCGAACGAAUCGACUAUUUAUCCAUUCUCUCAAUUUCCUUUCUACAGCGCUGAAUGCCAAUCAUGCAUUUGGCUACAUUCACUAGCUGCGUGAUAACCAUUGUUGGAAGUUUAUUGCUGACUACUGGAUUUCCUAGGGGAUCAAAUUGACUAUAUGCAUAUAUGUAAUAAGAAAUUACUAUUUCUGGCUCAUUUAUGAAAGCACCUAUCUGUAUAGAGAAAAUCAAAGUGGGAAAGGAGGAAGAACAAAGAGAGUAAAGAGAAUAGGAAAGAAUGGAAAGUGGAGGAGGA